UCGUCUUACUGCAUAAUGUAUGCAGUGCUCUGCUGAGGAAGGUGCUAGUUGCAUUCAUUCAUAAGAGUAAUUAGGACCUCCCUGAGGGCAGUAAUGCUCACCUGAAGGACGUCUGUGGUG
rnacentral:precursor_RNA from 12 species